GGACUCAGAUGUUGGGUCAUCUGGACCCAGUAUCUGGGUCCGGAUCCUGACCCAGAUGUUGGAUAAUGCGGACCCAGAACCUGGGUAAGGAUCAUAACCCAGAUUCUGGGUCC